GACGAACGCUGGCGGCGUGCUUAACACAUGCAAGUCGAACGGAAAGGCCCUGCUUUUGUGGGGUGCUCGAGUGGCGAACGGGUGAGUAACACGUGAGUAACCUGCCCUUGACUUUGGGAUAACUUCAGGAAACUGGGGCUAAUACCGGAUAGGAGCUCCUGCUGCAUGGUGGGGGUUGGAAAGUUUCGGCGGUUGGGGAUGGACUCGCGGCUUAUCAGCUUGUUGGUGGGGUAGUGGCUUACCAAGGCUUUGACGGGUAGCCGGCCUGAGAGGGUGACCGGCCACAUUGGGACUAAGAUAAGGCCCAGACUCCUACGGGAGGCAGCAGUGGGGAAUAUUGCACAAUGGGCGGAAGCCUGAUGCAGCAACGCCGCGUGCGGGAUGACGGCCUUCGGGUUGUAAACCGCUUUCGCCUGUGACGAAGCGUGAGUGACGGUAAUGGGUAAAGAAGCACCGGCUAACUACGUG
rnacentral:rRNA from 1 species